rnacentral:rRNA from 1 species
CAGUCGCCGCGGUAAUACGAGGGGGGCAAGCGUUGUUCGGAUUUAUUGGGCGUAAAGGGUGCGUAGGCGGUUUGGCAAGUUUGGUGUGAAAUCUUCGGGCUCAACUCGAAGUCUGCAUGGGAAACUGUCGGGCUUGAGUAUGGGAGAGGUGAGUGGAAUUUCCGGUGUAGCGGUGAAAUGCGUAGAUAUCGGAAGGAACACCUGUGGCGAAAGCGGCUCACUGGACCAUAACUGACGCUGAGGCACGAAAGCUAGGGGAGCAAACAGGAUUAGAGACCCCAGUAGUCCCUGUCUCUUAUAC